CUCUAAAAUCUCUGUUUAAUAUUCGCUGGGCUUUACCUUUAGUACCCUUCAUUUAAUCAAUCAGAACCAGGAAACACGAGCGAGAGGGCCAUGGCUACGAUCGCUCCGAUGCACGUGAGGAUGGACGGUGGGAUGUGAGUGCGCGUGAAGGUUCUUGCAAGAAGCAACGCGCAUUUUAUCCAAUUUUAGGCAGAAGGAGGAAGCAGAAACACGUGAGAGGAACCGAAUAGUCACGUGUGCAGAGCUUAUGGCUUAAGCCUUCAGACAUGUUAAUGGGUGGUCUUAAUUUUUGUGAGAGGCUACUUUGACGUCCACGAAAGGAUUAGAAAAGCUAAUUAGGGAGGUUGGGACUGACACGUGCAGAGCGAGAGCGGAUGUAAAGUCCAAUCUGACAUUUGGUGACACGUGUGAGGCUAAUGUGGAUUGGUUCUCUAGAUGGUUCUGAUUGAUUGAAUUGAGGGUCACCCCCUUGAUCCAGUUCUUUCCCGAUCUCUAUAAAUACAGCGUCCCCACUCGCAUGCCAUUCACUCCACAUUCAAGCCUCCCAAAGCUCACAACUGAAAAAACAGAGAGAGGGAUUUAUAUUCUGAAAGAAAAAAGCUUUUUUUUAAAAAGCUUUUUUCUUUCAUAAAUUUAUAUCACUUUCUCUAAAAAAAAAAAUAAAUCCUUGCAGAAAUGGCCAUGAAUAUUACCCACCAGAUCGGAGCACUCGCGGGAACUCCAAUCCAUAGAGAAUCCAUCACCACCACCACAAGUGAAUCUAUGGCGACGGUUAGCGUUGCUGCGGUGUGGAGAACUCCUAUGCCUAAUCCACGGAGCAAAAUUCAUAAACCAUACGUUGUGGAGCAGAAAUCUCAGCCGAUCAGCCCUUGUCGGUCUCCAUUACUAAGCGGCAUCCGUGCGGACCUGUCCGUAGCUUGUCGCGCUUUUGCGAUGGAGGAGAUGACAUUGGAGACGGCAACGGAGGGGGCGGAAGAGAGGACGUAUAGAGAAGGUUCUGGGAAGGAGAAAAAGAAGGGGGUGCCCGUGUACGUGAUGAUGCCCUUGGACAGCGUGACGAUGAGCAACUCUGUGAACCGGAGGAAGGCGAUGAACGCCAGUUUACAGGCGUUGAAGAGCGCCGGAGUUGAAGGGAUCAUGAUGGACGUAUGGUGGGGAUUGGUUGAGAGAGACGCACCCGGGGUGUAUAAUUGGGGAGGGUAUACUGAGCUUUUGGAGAUGGCGAAGCGACAUGGACUUAAGGUUCAGGCAGUGAUGUCGUUUCAUCAGUGUGGAGGAAACGUUGGCGACUCUUGCACGUGCGUAUUUUAUUUUAUUUUUUAUGGGCCUUUCAUUUCUGAACCACGUACCCCUUUUUUGAAAUGGGUAGCGUCGUUUUUAUGGGCGUCGAGUCCACGCGCCCAUGUUUAAUCUUAUCUUGCACGGAGGCGCUUGCGUGCCAAACUCAGCCGAGUGUUGAUUUUUGAGAAAGUUGAUUCACUUUUCGUUGUUUGUUUCCUGGGAUUUGAAAAUGAUCCAUGGGAAUGUAUUGUUUCUUUCUUCUUGUUUUGGGGUCUGUGUAGUCUCCUUUGCGAAUUAUGUCGAUUAAUGAUUAGUUUCUUGCGUGCAGUAUACCAUUGCCCAAGUGGGUUGUGGAGGAGAUUGACCAGGAUCCAAACCUUGCAUACACGGAUCAGUGGGGAAGAAGGAAUUAUGAAUAUAUAUCUCUAGGCUGUGAUACUAUUCCGGUCCUCAAGGGGCGGACACCCGUGCAAUGUUACUCUGAUUUCAUGCGAGCAUUCAGAGACAACUUCAAAAACCUUCUCGGUGAUACCAUUGUGGUAAUUACUCAUUGCUGUUUAAUUAGCCCUUGUGGAUUUGGUCUAUAUGUUUGCUAGUUCCAUGGAGCUUUGGAUUUUGGUCCCAAUACUCUAGGUAUUAGGACCACCCUCUUGUUGACUAAAUAAUUUGUUCCAGUGUUUUGUGAACUUUCUUUGCUAGAAAUGAACUUGUCGGCACCCGUAGUUUUCCCAAAUUGGAUCAUGCGAUUAAACAAAUUUGAAGGAGGUUGUCUCUGAACUGUUAAAUUUUUGCUUAAUUCAGGAAAUUCAAGUGGGAAUGGGUCCAGCAGGGGAGCUCCGCUAUCCCUCAUACCCAGAGCAGAAUGGGACAUGGAAAUUUCCAGGAAUUGGAGCAUUCCAAUGUUAUGACAAGUAUAUGCUUAGCAGCCUGAAAGCUGCAGCUGAAGCUGCUGGUAAGCCAGAAUGGGGUAGCACAGGCCCUACUGAUGCUGGUCGCUACAACAACUGGCCAGAAGAUACCCAGUUUUUUCGUAAAGAAAAUGGUGGUUGGACUAGUCCUUAUGGUGAAUUUUUCCUUAAUUGGUACUCUCAGAUGCUCCUAGACCACGGUGAGAGGAUACUUUCAUCGGCCGAUGCCAUCUUUGAGAACACCAGUGUAAAGAUCUCAGUAAAGGUUGCAGGAAUACAUUGGCACUACGGCACAAGGUCCCAUGCCCCAGAACUCACGGCUGGGUAUUACAACACAAGAUUUCGGGAUGGUUACCUUCCUAUUGCACAAAUGUUAGGACGCCAUGGUGCUAUUUUCAACUUCACUUGUAUUGAGAUGCGUGAUCAUGAGCAACCACAGGACGCCCUUUGCGCACCUGAGAAGCUUGUCAGGCAGGUGGCUUUAGCAACUCAGGGAGCAAAGGUUCCACUCGCUGGGGAAAAUGCCUUGCCACGAUAUGAUGAAUAUGCACACGAGCAAAUCUUGCAGGCAGCAUCAUUGAAUAUUGAUGGUAAUUCGGGUGAUGGGGAAAUGUGUGCUUUUACAUACUUGAGGAUGAGUCCUCAUUUAUUCCAAGAAGAUAACUGGAGACGGUUCGUGGCUUUUGUGAAGAAGAUGAAGGAAGGGAAGAAUGCUGAACGGUGUCGGGAGCAGGUUGAGCGGGAAGCUGAGCAUUUUGUGCAUAUGACUCAGCCUUUAGUUCAGCAGGCUGCAAUGGCUCUAAUGCACUGAGGAUUUGGUUUAACUUGCCAGUUCUAUACCAUCGCAAACAAACUCUUAUAGCUUUGUUAUAGCUGCUUUUUUUUUAUGCUGUAGCAAUAGACGUUUGCCCUGAACCGCCAAAAAAAUAAGAUUAAAAUUAAGAAUAUGUUAAGUUCAUUGCUGUACCACGAUAAGUUAUGUA
rnacentral:misc_RNA from 1 species